GGCGCGCAGGCCCCCGCCAGAGCAAAACCGGGGGCGUGGUCGGCCCAGGCCCCGCCCCCAGAAUGCCGGGCUCCACCCUUCCAGGCCUCCUCCGGUGCUGCUGUGAGACUAAGUGGUCCCGGAGCUCUGGGUGGUCCUUUGCUCAGUCUGCGACUACCCUGGGGCUCUUCUGCAGUCGAGAUAGCUCAGCAGGUGUGAGGAGCCUUGGCAUCAAAUUAACGUCCUGAAGGGUCUCUGUGCAGCUGACAAUGGUCUCGAACUCCUGCUUCUGCCUACUGAGUACCUGGAGGGCAGUUAUGCACCACCAUGUAUAGUCCAUCCACUGGCGGUGACAGAGCUCGGGCUCUGUGCAUGCCAGGGCCAGGUAUCUGUGGAUGCUUUUCAGUGGCAUCUGAGGUGGUGUGUCAGGUGGCUACCUACCGCCAAGGCAGAUGAGACACCAGACUGAAAACCAAGUAUCUUACCU